rnacentral:tRNA from 1 species
CCGGGGCGGGCGGCGGCGAGCCGCGCGGCGGCCGUGCCCCGGCCGACGACGACCAGCCCGCCGUCCGGCACGGCGGUGUCGGUC